rnacentral:rRNA from 1 species
AGCAGCCGCGGUAAUUCCAGCUCCAAUAGCGUAUAUUAAAGUUGUUGCAGUUAAAAAGCUCGUAGUUGAAUUUCGGGGUCAGCAGGUCGGUCGUGCCUAUGGUAUGCACUGGCCUUGCUGAUUCCUCCCUCUUGAUGAGCCGUGAUGCCAUUAGUUUGGUGUUGCGGGGAAUCAGGACUGUUACUUUGAAAAAAUUGGAGUGUUUAAAGCAGGCAUACGCUUGAAUACAUUAGCAUGGAAUAAUGAAAUAGGGCGUUCGAUCCUAUUUUGUUGGUUUCUAGGAUUGACGUAAUGAUUAAUAGGGAUAGUUGGGGGCAUUAGUAUUCGAUUGUCAGAGGUGAAAUUCUUGGAUUUAUUGAAGACUAACUACUGCGAAAGCAUUUGCCAAGGACGUUUUCAUUAAUCAAGAACGAAAGUUAGGGGAUCGAAGACGAUCAGAUACCGUCGUAGUCUUAACCAUAAACUAUGCCGACUAGGGAUCGGAUGAUGUUAAUUUUUUAAUGACUCA